rnacentral:misc_RNA from 1 species
GUGGAAUAGCUAAAGAGUGACAAAUAGGAAGAUGUUGGAAUCCCUUAAGAUGGGAGGAUUAGACGAUGUAGUAUGCAAUCCAAUAGCAAUGUUCCUGCAAUUUUCCGUGACAACUGUGAGAUGCAUUUUCAAGUCCAAUCUGUCUUUUGACUUGGUAACUGUUUUUGUUUGGCGUAAAUUUUGGUCAGUCACGAAGGCAAAUUGGAAGAAAAUCUAAAGGGAGACU